rnacentral:rRNA from 1 species
GCCCAAGAUUGAAAGCUGGCGUCUUCGGCGUCCGCAUUGUAAUCUCAAGAAGUGUUUUCCGCUUCGGACCAUGCCUAAGUCCCUUGGAAAAGGGCAUCAUAGAGGGUGAUAAUCCCGUACAUGGCAUGGAGCGCCCGUAGCUUUGUGAUACGCUUUCUAAGAGUCGAGUUGUUUGGGAAUGCAGCUCAAAAUGGGUGGUAAAUGCCAUCUAAGGCUAAAUAUUGGGGAGAGACCGAUAGCGAACAAGUACAGUGAUGGAAAGAUGAAAAGAACUUUGAAAAGAGAGUUAAACAGUACGUGAAAUUGCCAAAAGGGAAGGGUAGGAGGUCAGAGAUGCGGCUUGGGAUUCAGCCUUGCUUUUGCAUGGUGUUUUUCCCCUGUUGCAGGCCAACGUCGGUUUUGGGCACUGGAGAAGGGUGAGAGGAACGUGGCAUCCCUCGGGAUGUGUUAUAGCCUCUCACUGGAUACAGCGACCGAGACCGAGGACAGCAGCGUACUCGCAAGAGCGGGCCUUCGGGCACCUUUACGCUUAGGGCGUUGGCAUAAUGGCCCUCUACCACC